UGGGGAAUAUUGGACAAUGGGGGCAAUCCUGAUCCAGCAAUGCCGCGUGUGCGAAGAAGGCCUUCGGGUUGUAAAGCACUUUUAUCGGGAACGAAACAUUGUCGGCCAAUACCCGGCAAGACUGACGGUACCCGAGGAAUAAGCACCGGCUAACUCCGUGCCAGCAGCCGCGGUAAUACGGAGGGUGCAAGCGUUAAUCGGAAUUACUGGGCGUAAAGCGUGCGCAGGCGGUUUGUUAAGUCUGCUGUGAAAUCCCCGAGCUCAACUUGGGAAUUGCAGUGGAUACUGGCAAGCUGGAGUACGGUAGAGGAGGGUGGAAUUCCCGGUGUAGCAGUGAAAUGCGUAGAGAUCGGGAGGAACACCAGUGGCGAAGGCGGCCUUCUGGACCAGUACUGACGCUCAUGCACGAAAGCGUGGGGAGCAAACA
rnacentral:rRNA from 1 species